rnacentral:rRNA from 1 species
GUAGUCUCGCACAGAUGCAUAUCAAUAAGCGGAGGAAAAGAAACUAACAAGGAUUCCCCUAGUAACGGCGAGUGAAGCGGGAAGAGCUCAAAUUUGAAAUCUUAAAGGGUUUCCCUUUACGAAUUGUAGUUUAAAGAAGUGUUUUCUGUUGAGGUUUUGGUAAAAGUUCUUUGGAAUAGGACAUCAUAGAGGGUGAGAAUCCCGUAUUUGACCUUUACUUUCAACUUUGUGAUACACUUUCAAAGAGUCGGAUUGUUUGGGAAUGCAGUCCAAAAUGGGUGGUAAAUUUCAUCUAAAGCUAAAUAUUGGCGAGAGACCGAUAGCGAACAAGUACCGUGAGGGAAAGAUGAAAAGAACUUUGAAAAGAGAGUUAAACAGUACGUGAAAUUGUCAAAAGGGAAGCGUUUGACACCAGUGUUGUUUUUCUGAAAAUCAAUUAAAGAACUGUUUAUGCUAAGCUGUUUAGACUUUAUCAGCUAACUGUUUAGUUUUGAGCUUUUCUUUAAUGCACUUUUCAGUUAACAAGUCAACAUCAAUUUCUUUUGCUGUAAAAAAGCUUGAGGAAGGUGGCUUGAGAUUCGUCUUAAGUGUUUAUAGCCUCUUGCCUAUGCAGUCGGAGAGAUUGAGGUCUGCAGCGUAGAUCCUUCGGGGCUAAGUGCAUUUGUGCUAAGUUAUAGCAUUUUAUAGACAACUUGUUGACUAUGAUUUGUCUUGUAGCUUACUCGCUUAUGUUAUUUUACCUACGCUUAGGAUGUUGAACUACUGAGACAUAGA